rnacentral:snRNA from 1 species
GUGCUCGCUUCGGCAGCACAUACACUCAAAAAAUUGGAACGAUACAGAGAAGAUUAGCAUGGCCCCUGCACAAGGAUGACACGCAAAUUCGUGACGCGUUCCAUAUUUUU